AGAAUGAAUCCACAACCUCUCAUUUCCUGGAAUGAUACACAGAAGAUCAGCAUGGCCUCUGCACAGGGCUGUCAAGCAAAUUUAUGAAGCAUUCCAUUUUUUU
ensembl:snRNA U6 U6 spliceosomal RNA